GCCGGGAGCGGGGAAUCGGGGUUCUCGCCGGUUCUCCUCGCAGUUCAGGAGCCAAGGAGGGAAGCGACUGAGAAGAGGCCACAGAGCGAUUCAGCCUUGAACAGAACACCAGGCCGGCGUACUUCAAAAGAGGGGACCGGGACGGAAGCGACGCAAUGACCACUACAAGGUCCUGGUCCCUGCAGGCUGCCCCCGCCCGGAAGCACAGGUGGGCUACAGCAAGUUCCUGCCUCCGACUUCACAGUGGUUCCGAAUUGGCAGAAGAACACAGCACACAAGAUCGGGAUCCUGCCGGCACCUGGUGGCUCACGCCUAGAAUCCCACCUGCUCCGAAGGCCGAGGCAGGAGGAUCGCGAGUUCAAAUUGGCCUGCGCAGGUGAAGGAAGGAACCGCGGGAGGGCCAAGGACAAGAGAGGCCCACUGGAGAGAGACGCAGCGACUGUCCACCCUGCAGGACUUAAAGGUAG